rnacentral:tRNA from 1 species
GCGCCCGUAGCUCAGCUGGAUAGAGCAUCGGACUUCUAAUCCGAGGGUCAUAGGUUCGAAUCCUAUCGGGCGUG